GCAGUGGGGAUCUUGCACAAUGGAGGAAACUCUGAUGCAGCGAUGCCGCGUGAGUGAAGAAGGCCUUUGGGUUGUAAAGCUCUUUCGUCGGGGAAGAAAAUGACUGUACCCGAAUAAGAAGGUCCGGCUAACUUCGUGCCAGCAGCCGCGGUAAUACGAAGGGACCUAGCGUAGUUCGGAAUUACUGGGCUUAAAGAGUUCGUAGGUGGUUGAAAAAGUUGGUGGUGAAAUCCCAGAGCUUAACUCUGGAACUGCCAUCAAAACUUUUCAGCUAGAGUAUGAUAGAGGAAAGCAGAAUUUCUAGUGUAGAGGUGAAAUUCGUAGAUAUUAGAAAGAAUACCAAUUGCGAAGGCAGCUUUCUGGAUCAUUACUGACACUGAGGAACGAAAGCAUGGGUAGCGAAGAGGAUUAGAUACCCUCGUAGUCCAUGCCGUAAACGAUGUGUGUUAGACGUUGGAAAUUUAUUUUCAGUGUCGCAGCGAAAGCGAUAAACACACCGCCUGGGGAGUACGACCGCAAGGUUAAAACUCAAAUGAAUUGACGGGGACCCGCACAAGUAGUGGAGCAUGUGGUUUAAUUCGAAGAUACGCGCAGAACCUUACCAACACUUGACAUGUUCGUCGCGACUUUAAGAGAUUAAAGUUUUCGGUUCGGCCGGACGAAACACAGGUGCUGCAUGGCUGUCGUCAGCUCGUGUCGUGAGAUGUUGGGUUAAGUCCCGCAACGAGCGCAACCCUCACUUUUAGUUGCCAUCAUUUAGUUGGGCACUCUGAAAGAACUGCCAGUGAUAAGCUGGAGGAAGGUGGGGAUGACGUCAAGUCCUCAUGGCCCUUACGUGUUGGGCUACACACGUGCUACAAUGGUAUCUACAACAGGAAGCAAAACCGCGAGGUUAAGCAAAUCCUUAAAAGAUACCUCAGUUCGGAUUGCACUCUGCAACU
rnacentral:rRNA from 1 species